GAGCCACCCAGGCGCCCCCCAACUACAUUUUAUAAGGAAUAGUGAACCUUCAAUACAUAUUUGCUGAAGGAAGGAAGGAAAGAGAAAAAGGCCAUUUCCGGAUGGGAUGGUCAUGGAAGAGUUCCUGAAAGAGGAGAUGUGAGCUCAGUCCCUGAGGACCGUUGAGUUUUAGAGGAAUGAGGAGAAGAUAAGCAACAUUCCAGACAAGGAAUAAAGCACCAACUUAGCAUGCCUCUUCAUGGCAAGUUAGAUAAACAUGUUCUCUGAUUGCUAAAAAUUAACCUUCCACAAUAAAUAAAUGCCAUGUAACCAGACAUGUGAACAUACACAUAGCAGAAAAUUAACAGCAUACCUCUCCAAGAGGUAAUUUUGGGGCAAGAGGAAAAAAUAUAUAUUAUGCUAAUAAUAUAUUAUGCUAUAUAUUAUGCUAUAAAUGCUAAGAGACAGCAUUGAAAAAUAAACUAUUCGUUCUCCAAAAAGGAAACAUGACUAAAACAAAGACCACACCCUAAAAAGUUUUCCUCAAUUAUAUUGCUACAGACUAGUACAAUCAGGAGUGGAAAAUAUACCAUUUCCUGACAUGUCAAAGAGAUAUGAAUGAUUAGUGAUCACGUAGUCACAAGAUAGUGGUGGAUGCUGGUUCUCUCCUGAUGUAAAAGUUAUGUAAGUUCAGGUCUGUGUGAUCUCAUGGGGGCAAAGGUGUUACAAGUACACACAGAUCACUCACUCUGCACAUAAUACCUUCGCCCCAAAUAACCCUCUGUACCUUUUAUACAGUGAAAGAAUUACAGCUAUUAUUCUAGGCACUAGUCCCUGAAACACAGACUUGCUUGUCCUUUCAAGAAUUUUAAACUUAAGAAAAGGCAUGUGUUAUUCACAGAUGCACAACAUAUGUAAAGAGUUUUUGUUAUAAUUUUUUCUUCAUUAAAAGCAUUUGUGCUUUCUAAAUGAAAA